UAUAAGUCUUGGUAUGGGGGAGUGUGAGGAAAAAGUUCAAUAGAUAGGAGUAGCAAGGGAGUAUAUAGUAACAAUAGUUUCAUUGCCGGCUACUUGUUAAGGUAGGGUAAGUCAAGCUCCCGCUGUUCCCGCCUUUUUCUCCCACCCUGAAAGUGAUAGUUUGAUUACCGGCUGCUUGUUAACGUAGGGUCAGUCUAGCUCCCACUAUCCUUUCCCCUCCCUCUUCCCCCCCACCCCCGAAAGGUGACGUGUGGGGCUCUGGUCAAACAGUAAAUCACUCGACUCACAGCUCCCAACACUACUCUUGGAUGACAGAGAGGGUCACCUGUCAAUCAACGAGAAGAACUGACGGAGAAGGACUAUCGUCCAGAGACUUCCCCAUUUUGGAUUUAAUUACCUGUGCACCUGUAUGAAAUUGCAGGACGUAACCCCACAUCAUUGCAGCGGUAAAGAACCUACUUUCCUGUCAUCGGGAUAGAAUACUCACGGCGAUACUCUGUGAAGAACUAGCCGGUGGUGGUCACCAACAUCUGCGACCCCCCCCCCCUCCACAUCAGCAACGGCUAAGAUUUCAACAACACGAAGUGUCACCAACACCAGACACCCCAAUAUAUAUAUUAGCGUUGAGUUCAAAUGUUAUUUUAUUCAUUUCAUUUUUCAUUUUUCUUUCAAAUAGGAUACACCUGUCAUGUUUUAUUGUUUUAGGUUUGCUUUAAUAAAUAAUAAAGUGUUUAUCUUUGUGAAUUAUUAUUUCGUUUUCUAUUCAUUAAUUUUCCUGAGGAGGAGCCAGCUUUGGUAAUACUGUCUGAAGUUAUUACAGAGCUGAGUAAGCCUUCACAAGGCAACUAAAGUGCCGGGAGCAAGGGGCUAGUAACUCCUUCAUUUUUCUUUUUGGGCCAUCAUGCAUCAGUGGAAUACGGCCCAUUUGUUGGAAGAACAAUAAUGAUUUCAUAAAUAUGUAAUAUUUAAGUUAUGAAAAAUGUAUGAUUUAGCAUGCCGAAUUUUAUAUUGAAACUUGAUAUUAAUGGUUAGGAUGCAUUAAAUUUCUUAAUAUUUUUUUUUUUUUUUUUUUUUGUUUAGCUAGUUGGGAGUUCUGCACUCAUGCUGUGUACCAGUUAGUUGCAUGUGGGAUGAAGUGUCUUGGUGUCUGUUUUGAUUCUGAAAACCACCUUAUAUGUGCCUCUCAUCUUAAACUAUUGAAGGCUCAGUAGUUGCUGUUGUAGGCUCCAGUGGAUCUGGGAAAAGCACCAUUGGCUCGCUUCUCUUGCGUUUGUAUGACCCAUUAAAUGGGGAAAUUACUAUUGAUGACAUACCAAUACGUCAGCUGGAUCCAUCUUGGUUACGUACAGUGAUUGGUUCUGUUAGUCAGGAACCAGUAUUGUUUUCUAAAAAUUUUCGUGAAAAUAUGCUGUA